UGGGGAAUAUUGGACAAUGGGCGCAAGCCUGAUCCAGCCAUGCCGCGUGAGUGAUGAAGGCCCUAGGGUUGUAAAGCUCUUUCACCGGUGAAGAUAAUGACGGUAACCGGAGAAGAAGCCCCGGCUAACUUCGUGCCAGCAGCCGCGGUAAUACGAAGGGGGCUAGCGUUGUUCGGAUUUACUGGGCGUAAAGCGCACGUAUGCGGACUAUUAAGUCAGGGGUGAAAUCCCGGGGCUCAACCCCGGAACUGCCUUUGAUACUGGUAGUCUUGAGUUCGAGAGAGGUGAGUGGAAUUCCGAGUGUAGAGGUGAAAUUCGUAGAUAUUCGGAGGAACACCAGUGGCGAAGGCGGCUCACUGGCUCGAUACUGACGCUGAGGUGCGAAAGCGUGGGGAGCAAACAGG
rnacentral:rRNA from 1 species